CUACCGCACCACAGGCUGCUAAUCAAAUAACCCGUCGGCCAUCUACAGAUAGCAACAAUUAAGGUGGUGAAAUUGAACAAGGGGAUGAAAGAAGUGAAGACAUGACUUAGGAGGAUUGGGUUGAUGUUUUUGAAAACUGAAAACUUGUGUGUUCCACCUCUUGAAUGGUCAAAUAUUAUCUUGAUAUUUUGCUUUUGUAGAUAUUACACGACCUCCAGGAUCUUG